AUAUUAGCCGCGGUUAUUUGGUGAGCGCUGGUGGUUUAUUCUUCCGUGGAGUUAAGGGUUCCGUGGACAUCUCAAGUCUUCAGGGUCUUCCAUCUGGUGAGCCUUUGGCCCCUUGGGGCCCGCGGAAGCUUCGCCGCUCUCCCCUUGGGCGGGGGUCGUGAACGUCAAGACAGUCCCGGCCUGCAGUUGCCGCGGAGGAGCCGUGGGCACGAUGACUCUGCACCGCCUCCUCGGUGACGGACCGGCCGCCGGGAAUGGCCCCCGCCGGCCGCCGUCGGGGGCUUCCCAGUGCCAAGCCUGGACGCCGGGGCCCGCGAGGGGGCGGGCUGAGGGUGGGGGGUCUGUGGGCAGGACCGAGGAGUUGGGGCGGCUUCCGUCCUGGAGAGUUCGGUACGUGAAAGUUAGCUCUCCCGGAGGUGCCGGUGAACUCAAAAUCGUGCUGUGUCCGGCGUCAGGCGUGGAGACAACAGAAAGUUGUGCUUACGCUCGAAUCAGAAAUCCUCGGCGAGUCUGUGUCCUCCCUGCUUUUCUGCUCUGUGCCGUCCUUACUUUGCACCUUCCUAUUGCAAUUACUUCAACCAGUUCGCUGCCCUCGGUCUCUCACCAGCCAGAGUGAUCAUUUAAAAUGCCAAUCAGUUCCUAUGGGCCUUGGGAAUCAUUCAGAGGAGCCCCAUUGGCUGAGAGAUAAAAUUCUGUUUUUACCUGGGCACGCGGGCUCUCCAGAAUUUGAUUCCAGCUUACCUUUCCAGUCUUGAUUCCCUAUAUUCCAGUAUUUGGAAAUGUGGGUUUUGGACUGAGGCUUUACCAAAUAACGCUGAGCACCCAGUAUUGCCUUUUGCACGAAUGGUACUGAUGGUGCCCAAGAUAACUGCCUCCACCCCCAAGUUCAGGACCCAGAUCACUCUCUGGAGAAGGCCUCAGCCUCUUGACAUGGCUUUCAAGGCUCUGCGUGAUUUGGAUACUCGCUUAGCUCUUAUUUAUAUAUUUUUAAAAACAUCAGCAGUUUGUCUCAUGCGCACUAAGCUAUCCUGCCUCAGUACCCUUUGUUCAUACUUUAUGCUCUGUCUGGAAUGCCCUUCCCUUCUUUCUUCCUCUGUUCUUUCUCUUAGACCCAAGGGUUCUCAGCCUUAUUUCUGCCUCUCCCGUCUCUGAUUUACUUUCAUUUUCUGUAUCGGUUUCUCAAAAAAUACUUUCUUGAUUUUUUCAUCAUCCCUUUUCCCACCCUACCCCCGGUUCCUCUUUCCACAUUAUAAUCUAUGACUGCUUCUCUCACCUAACUGCCAGUAUUAGCUUUUCAGGACAGGAACUGGUUUUACACAUUUUGGUAUUCCAGCAUCUAGCAUAAUGCCUGACACUUAGCUGAAUAAAGGGAGUAAAUAGAUUUGUAAAGUCAGCAAAUGCUUUUUAAUUUGUGAAUCUUAUUUUAAUGAUGAUCUGAUUUUCUUUUUACAGGAACUAUAUAAAGUUCAGAAAACAUGGUGAGUUAAUACACAUGCCAAUAAACUGUUGCCUGAUAAACCGUAUUGCUUGUACUCAACUUACAGACUUGUGUGGGAAAAUUGAAAUAGAAGGAAAGCAUUGAGAAGAUGCCUUUUAUCUUGUCAGUUUCCUCUCACCUAUUGAACUUUGUAUAUACCAGGAUAGGUUUUGUAAGAUGAUUUGUAGGCUUGCAGGACUUGGCUUACUUUCAGUGGGUAGGAGUCACUCAUGUGUUUUUCCUUUGUAGUCUCGAAGAUAUGACUCCAGGACCACUAUAUUUUCUCCAGAAGGUAAAAUAGAAAUUGUUUAAUCUGCCUCAAGUUUAAAAAUAGAUGUGUUAGACUUUUAGAAAAAAAAAUUACAAACUAUUUUUGGUAGUUGCAGAGUUCAUCUUUUUUGUACUUUGAAGCAAUUAUGGUCACCAGGUUGGUUAUACCAUAGAAGAGUGAAAGUGGAAAUUUGUUUCUAGCUUGCUUCAUUGCUGAUUUCUUUUGGGCCGGUGGUGCAAGAGCACAGAGGAGAGUCUUGGCUUCUCACUGCUUUUGUUUUGUAGGUCGCUUAUACCAAGUUGAAUAUGCCAUGGAAGCUAUUGGACAUGCAGGCACCUGUUUGGGAAUUUUAGCAAAUGAUGGUGUUUUGCUUGCAGCAGAGAGACGCAACAUCCACAAGCUUCUUGAUGAAGUCUUUUUUUCUGAAAAAAUUUAUAAACUCAAUGAGGACAUGGCUUGCAGUGUGGCAGGCAUAACUUCUGAUGCUAAUGUUCUGACUAAUGAACUAAGGCUCAUUGCUCAAAGUAUUUAUUACAGUAUCAGGAGCCAAUACCUUGUGAGCAGUUGGUUACAGCACUGUGUGAUAUCAAACAAGCUUAUACACAAUUUGGAGGAAAACGUCCCUUUGGUGUUUCAUUGCUGUACAUUGGCUGGGAUAAGCACUAUGGCUUUCAGCUCUAUCAGAGUGACCCUAGUGGAAAUUACGGGGGAUGGAAGGCCACAUGCAUUGGAAAUAAUAGCGCUGCAGCUGUGUCAAUGUUGAAACAAGACUACAAAGAAGGAGAAAUGACCUUGAAGUCAGCACUUGCUUUAGCUAUCAAAGUACUAAAUAAGACCAUGGAUGUUAGUAAACUCUCUGCUGAAAAAGUGGAAAUUGCAACACUAACAAGAGAGAAUGGAAAGACGGUAAUCAGAGUUCUCAAACAAAAAGAAGUGGAGCAGUUGAUCAAAAAACACGAGGAAGAAGAAGCCAAAGCUGAGCGUG
rnacentral:sRNA from 1 species